AUUGAACGCUGGCGGCAGGCCUAACACAUGCAAGUCGAGCGAGCGGCGGACGGGUGAGUAAUGUCUGGGAAACUGCCUGAUGGAGGGGGAUAACUACUGGAAACGGUAGCUAAUACCGCAUACCAUCAGAUGUGCCCAGAUGGGAUUAGCUAGUAGGUGGGGUAAAGGCUCACCUAGGCGACGAUCCCUAGCUGGUCUGAGAGGAUGACCAGCCCCACUGUAACUGAGACACGGUCCAGACUCCUACGGGAGGCAGCAGUGGGGAAUAUUGCACAAUGGGCGCAAGCCUGAUGCAGCCAUGCCGCGUGUAUGAAGAAGGCCUUCGGGUUGUAAAGUACUUUCAGCGAGGAGGCGUUACUCGCAGAAGAAGCACCGGCUAACUCCGUGCCAGCCGCCGCGGUAAUAC
rnacentral:rRNA from 1 species